rnacentral:rRNA from 1 species
AAUCAACGCUGGCGGCGUGCCUCAGACAUGCAAGUCGAACGAUUAAAGCUCUCUUCGGAGAGUGUAUAGAGUGGCGCACGGGUGAGUAACACGUAAGUAAUCUACCUUCGAGUGGGGAAUACCGUCCGGAAACGGACGCUAAUACCGCAUAAUGCAGCGGCAUCGUAAGAUGACAGUUGUUAAAGAUUUCAUCGCUUGAAGAGGAGCUUGCGGCAGAUUAGCUAGUUGGUAAGGUAAUGGCUUACCAAGGCUACGAUCUGUAACCGGUCUUAGAGGACGGUCGGUCACACUGACACUGAAUAACGGGUCAGACUCCUACGGGAGGCAGCAGUCGGGAAUUUUGGGCAAUGGGCGAAAGCCUGACCCAGCAACGCCGCGUGAAGG